UUGCUUCAGCUGCACAUGUACUAAAAUUGGGAUGAUACAGAUUUGCAUGACUCCUGCUCAUGACACAAAACUCAUGAAGCAUUUCAUACUUUA
rnacentral:snRNA from 1 species